rnacentral:miRNA from 29 species
UGAGUAUUACAUCAGGUACUGGU